rnacentral:sRNA from 1 species
UAGUAUAAUCCUAAAGUUUUAUGGUUACAAUUUGUAAUAAGUGAAUAUCUAUUUAAA